rnacentral:rRNA from 1 species
CCUUAGAGUUUGAUCCUGGCUCAGGACGAACGCUGGCGGCGCGCCUAACACAUGCAAGUCGAACGAGCGAGAGAGAGCUUGCUUUCUCGAGCGAGUGGCGAACGGGUGAGUAACGCGUGAGGAACCUGCCUCAAAGAGGGGGACAACAGUUGGAAACGACUGCUAAUACCGCAUAAGCCCACGGGUCGGCAUCGACCAGAGGGAAAAGGAGCAAUCCGCUUUGAGAUGGCCUCGCGUCCGAUUAGCUAGUUGGUGAGGUAACGGCCCACCAAGGCAACGAUCGGUAGCCGGACUGAGAGGUUGAACGGCCACAUUGGGACUGAGACACGGCCCAGACUCCUACGGGAGGCAGCAGUGGGGAAUAUUGCACAAUGGGGGAAACCCUGAUGCAGCGACGCCGCGUGGAGGAAGAAGGUCUUCGGAUUGUAAACUCCUGUUGUUGAGGAAGAUAAUGACGGUACUCAACAAGGAAGUGACGGCUAACUACGUGCCAGCAGCCGCGGUAAAACGUAGGUCACAAGCGUUGUCCGGAAUUACUGGGUGUAAAGGGAGCGCAGGCGGGAAGACAAGUUGGAAGUGAAAUCCAUGGGCUCAACCCAUGAACUGCUUUCAAAACUGUUUUUCUUGAGUAGUGCAGAGGUAGGCGGAAUUCCCGGUGUAGCGGUGGAAUGCGUAGAUAUCGGGAGGAACACCAGUGGCGAAGGCGGCCUACUGGGCACCAACUGACGCUGAGGCUCGAAAGUGUGGGUAGCAAACAGGAUUAGAUACCCUGGUAGUCCACACCGUAAACGAUGAUUACUAGGUGUUGGAGGAUUGACCCCUUCAGUGCCGCAGUUAACACAAUAAGUAAACCCACCUGGGGAGUACGACCGCAAGGUUGAAACUCAAAGGAAUUGACGGGGGCCCGCACAAGCAGUGGAGUAUGUGGUUUAAUUUGACGCAAACGCGAAGAACCUUACCAAGUCUUGACAUCCCUUGACGAUGCUGGAAACAGUAUUUCUCUUCGGAGCAAGGAGACAGGUGGUGCAUGGUUGUCGUCAGCUCGUGUCGUGAGAUGUUGGGUUAAGUCCCGCAACGAGCGCAACCCUUAUGGUCAGUUACUACGCAAGAGGACUCUGGCCAGACUGCCGUUGACAAAACGGAGGAAGGUGGGGAUGACGUCAAAUCAUCAUGCCCUUUAUGACUUGGGCUACACACGUACUACAAUGGCGUUAAACAAAGAGAAGCAAGACCGCGAGGUGGAGCAAAACUCAGAAACAACGUCCCAGUUCGGACUGCAGGCUGCAACUCGCCUGCACGAAGUCGGAAUUGCUAGUAAUCGUGGGUCAGCAUGCCACGGUGAAUACGUUCCCGGGCCUUGCACACACCGCCCGUCA